AGAACGAACGCUGGCGGCAUGCCUAACACAUGCAAGUCGAACGAGACCUUCGGGUCUAGUGGCGCACGGGUGCGUAACGCGUGGGAAUCUGCCCUUGGGUACGGAAUAACAGUGGGAAACUACUGCUAAUACCGUAUAAUGACUUCGGUCCAAAGAUUUAUCGCCCAGGGAUGAGCCCGCGUAGGAUUAGCUUGUUGGUGAGGUAAGAGCUCACCAAGGCGACGAUCCUUAGCUGGUCUGAGAGGAUGAUCAGCCACACUGGGACUGGGACACGGCCCAGACUCCUACGGGAGGCAGCAGUGGGGAAUAUUGGACAAUGGGCGAAAGCCUGAUCCAGCAAUGCCGCGUGAGUGAUGAAGGCCGUUAGGUGUAAAGCUCUUUUGCCCGGAUGAUAAUGACAGUACCGGAGAAUAAGCUCCGGCUAACUCCGUGCCAGCAGCCGAC
rnacentral:rRNA from 1 species